GACGUCGAUAUUCGACGUCAUAAACACGAUCAACUUUGGUGUUUAUGACGUCGAUAUUCGACGUAUAAACACGAUCAACUUUGGUGUUUAUGACGUCGAUAUUCGGCGUCAUAAACACGAUCAACUUUGGUGUUUAUGACGUCGAUAUUCGACGUCAUAAACACGAUCAACUUUGGUGUUGAUGACGUCGAUAUUCGACGUCAUAAACACGAUCAACUUUGGUGUUGAUGACGUCGAUAUUCGACGUC
rnacentral:miRNA from 1 species